UCGGAUAUGGUGUAAUGGUUAACAUUGCCGCCUCUCAUAUAUGGGACUCGUAACGUGUUCGCGGCAGCUCGGGGUUCGAUUCCCCGUAUCCGAA